rnacentral:rRNA from 1 species
UACGAAGGGGGCUAGCGUUGUUCGGAAUCACUGGGCGUAAAGCGCACGUAGGCGGAUUGUUAAGUCGGGGGUGAAAUCCUGAGGCUCAACCUCAGAACUGCCUUCGAUACUGGCAAUCUCGAGUCCGGAAGAGGUUGGUGGAACAGCUAGUGUAGAGGUGAAAUUCGUAGAUAUUAGCUAGAACACCAGUGGCGAAAGGCG